rnacentral:rRNA from 1 species
GUGUCAGCAGCCGCGGUAACACGGGGGUUGCGAGCGUUGUCCGGAAUUACUAGGCGUAAAGCGUGCGCAGGCGGUUUUGUAAGACAGGCGUGAAAUCCCCGGGCUCAACCUGGGAAUGGCGCUUGUGACUGCAAAGCUGGAGUGCGGCAGAGGGGGAUGGAAUUCCGCGUGUAGCAGUGAAAUGCGUAGAUAUGCGGAGGAACACCGAUGGCGAAGGCAAUCCCCUGGGCCUGCACUGACGCUCAUGCACGAAAGCGUGGGGAGCAAACAGGAUUAGAUACCCUGGUAGUCCACGCCCUAAACGAUGUCAACUGGUUGUUGGGUCUUUACUGACUCAGUAACGAAGCUAACGCGUGAAGUUGACCGCCUGGGGAGUACGGCCGCAAGGUUGAAACUCAAAUGAAUUGACGG